rnacentral:pre_miRNA from 1 species
UCAGCUAGAUCAGCUGUUCCAUCUUAAUCAUAAAAUCUAAUUCAGGAUGAUUAAGAAGGAACAACUGAUUUUACUGAG